GGGAAUCUUCCACAAUGGGCGCAAGCCUGAUGGAGCAACACCGCGUGAGUGAAGAAGGGUUUCGGCUCGUAAAGCUCUGUUGUUAAAGAAGAACACGUAUGAGAGUAACUGUUCAUACGUUGACGGUAUUUAACCAGAAAGUCACGGCUAACUACGCGCCAG
rnacentral:rRNA from 1 species